CCUACGGGGGGCUGCAGUGGGGAAUAUUGCACAAUGGGCGAAAGCCUGAUGCAGCAACGCCGCGUGAGCGAUGAAGGCCUUUGGGUCGUAAAGCUCUGUCCUUGGGGAAGAAACAAAUGACGGUACCCAAGGAGGAAGCCCCGGCUAACUACGUGCCAGCAGCCGCGGUAAUACGUAGGGGGCAAGCGUUAUCCGGAAUUAUUGGGCGUAAAGAGUACGUAGGUGGUCUUUUAAGCGCAGGGUUUAAGGCAAUGGCUUAACCAUUGUUCGCCCUGUGAACUGGAAGACUUGAGUGUAGGAGAGGAAAGUGGAAUUCCUAGUGUAGCGGUGAAAUGCGUAGAUAUUAGGAGGAACAUCAGUGGCGAAGGCGACUUUCUGGACUAUUACUGACACUGAGGUACGAAAGCGUGGGGAGCAAACAGGAUUAGAUACCCGAGUAGUC
rnacentral:rRNA from 1 species